ACCUGGCUGGCUCAAUCAGUAGAGCAUGCGACUCUUGAUCUCGGGGUUGUGAGUUCAAGCCCCAUGAUGGGUA
rfam:Ailuropoda melanoleuca scaffold222_174, whole genome shotgun sequence.